rnacentral:rRNA from 1 species
UACGUAGGGAGCAAGCGUUGUCCGGAAUCAUUGGGCGUAAAGCGCGCGUAGGUGGCUUCAUAAGUCCGCUGUGAAAGUCAAAGGCUCAACCUUUGAAAGCCGGUGGAUACUGUGGAGCUAGAGUCCGGAAGAGGCGAGUGGAAUUCCUGGUGUAGCGGUGGAAUGCGCAGAUAUCAGGAGGAACACCAAUAGCGAAGGCAGCUCGCUGGGACGGUACUGACACUGAGGCGCGAAAGCGUGGGGAGCGAACAGG